rnacentral:rRNA from 1 species
CAGUCGCCGCGGUAAGACGAACCGUGCGAACGUUAUUCGGAAUCACUGGGCUUAAAGCGCGUGUAGGCGGGCCGCCACGUCGGCUGCUGAAAUCCCCCGGCUCAACCGGGGAACGGGCACCGAUACGAGCGGCCUCGAGGGGGGUAGGGGGGUCUGGAACUUCCGGUGGAGCGGUGAAAUGCGUUGAGAUCGGAAGGAACGCCCGUGGCGAAAGCGAGGCCCUGGACCCUUUCUGACGCUGAGACGCGAAAGCCAGGGGAGCGAACGGGAUUAGAUACCCGAGUAGUCCCUGUCUCUUAUU